CUUGGGCAAUGGGGGCAACCCUGACCCAGCGACGCCGCGUGAGUGAGGAAGGUCUUCGGAUCGUAAAGCUCUGUCGGAUGGGAAGAAAUGUAUGGGAGUGAACAGCUUUCAUGCUUGACGGUACCAUCAGAGGAAGCACCGGCUAACUCCGUGCCAGCAGCCGCGGUAAUACGGGGGGUGCAAGCGUUGUUCGGAAUCAUUGGGCGUAAAGGGCGUGUAGGCGGCUGGAUAAGUCAGAUGUGAAAUCCCUGGGCUUAACCCAGGAAGUGCAUUUGAAACUGUCCGGCUUGAGUGAGGGAGAGGAAAGUGGAAUUCCUGGUGUAGAGGUGAAAUUCGUAGAUAUCAGGAGGAACACCGGUGGCGAAGGCGACUUUCUGGCCCUAUACUGACGCUGAGACGCGAAAGCGUGGGGAGCAAACAG
rnacentral:rRNA from 2 species